rnacentral:rRNA from 1 species
AUUGAACGCUGGCGGCAGGCCUAACACAUGCAAGUCGAGCGGAUGAAGGGAGCUUGCUACUGGAUUCAGCGGCGGACGGGUGAGUAAUGCCUAGGAAUCUGCCUGGUAGUGGGGGAUAACGUCCGGAAACGGGCGCUAAUACCGCAUACGUCCUGAGGGAGAAAGUGGGGGAUCUUCGGACCUCACGCUAUCAGAUGAGCCUAGGUCGGAUUAGCUAGUUGGUGGGGUAAAGGCCUACCAAGGCGACGAUCCGUAACUGGUCUGAGAGGAUGAUCAGUCACACUGGAACUGAGACACGGUCCAGACUCCUACGGGAGGCAGCAGUGGGGAAUAUUGGACAAUGGGCGAAAGCCUGAUCCAGCCAUGCCGCGUGUGUGAAGAAGGUCUUCGGAUUGUAAAGCACUUUAAGUUGGGAGGAAGGGCAGUAAGUUAAUACCUUGCUGUUUUGACGUUACCAACAGAAUAAGCACCGGCUAACUUCGUG